GGGGCGCGGAGGCAACGUAUCGUCCUCCUGCGGCCCGGCCGGCAGAGCCGGGCGCCCUCUCCCUGACCCCACAGCCCCCUCUGAGGUCAGCGAUUGUCGUUGUCGUUACCGGCAUCAAUACCUCAACAGCCCCGAACAAGUCCGCGGGCGCGCAGGGCUUCCGCGGAGCCAGCGCGACUUUUCCUCCCCGACUGUCGCUGCUAGAGCUGCAGGCGCAGGGCGGCUGUUUUGGGGAGGGGAGGCGCUUGCCUUGCGCGGAGCCUGCGCACCCCUGCGCGCCCCACCGACCGGGCAACGACCGGGGCUGCGCCCCCAGGCGACAUCUCCCCCACAGCGUGGGCAGCGAGGGGCAAAUGAUGUCGCGCAACCUCCGCGGUGGCGGGGAUCGUUUUAAGAAGCAAGGGGGGCAGGAAGGGGAUCGGAAAGCGGCGUGUUGGGGGCCGGAGCGAGCCAGCCCAGCAGGGCCACAGGCCGGUGGGACCCCUGAAAGCAGUAAGGGAGUCCCCCAAAACCGUCAGUAGGCGCAGGCAGCCAGCAGCCCCUGAACUGCCGCUUCGCCCUCUUAAAUGAGCCAUUCACUUAAAGGCUAUUACGGGCGAAUUAAUAAAUUACACAGCGAAUUAUUAAAUCCAGAUAAUUACAAGGAAUAAGUAAGUAAUCAUUAGUUAUCUCAGCUAAUUACUGUGGGUCAGAGCGAGCGAGAAUGUGAAAUCCUCCUCGGGAAUUGAAAUUAACUUUGCACAGUGAGUCUCUCUGCUUGACAUCCCCAGUCUGUAGGCACAUGGCAGCUCCCCUGUGAGCUCGGCUUUCUAUUUAACUUGGAGAGAAUGGAAAUAAAAUUAAGUGGCGAUGUGAUAAUAGGAAGCUGCUUAGAAAGCAAACGCUGUGGGUUUUAUUUUUUACCGUUUACUGCCUGGAGAUAGACUGCUCUCUAGUUUCCCACAUUAAAAACCCGGGGCAAUUAGUCGACGUCUCCCUGUACCUGCCUGUCCUACACAUGCAGAUUAUGAGCAAACGAAAAGGCACGAAAGAUCCGGGGGGGCAGAGGUACCUGGGCUCUGAGAGACCCAGGAGGGCACCCGGGCAGCCCCUCUGCUGCCGCCCGGCAACACCGCACGGGCCGGGAAGGUCUGAGGCACCGGCGCGCUUUGUUUUGGGAGACAAUAAGCUGUCGAGCCCUAAUGAGAGUCCCUGUCUCUUCCGCUGAUCUUUCCCCAGAUCUCUCCAAGAGCUAAUGUUCUCCCCCCACCCCCUCCCCAACACCCAUCUAUAACACCACUUCCCGGCUUCUCUUCACGUGCACCUUUUGUAAACAGCAGAUCUAUAGGUGGAGACGCUCACGCUGCCCUCGCUGGGCUUUCCCCGUGUUAAAACAACAACAACAACAACUGCUGUGUGUGCGCGGCGAUAAAAAAGAUCUUUGCCGCGAUGAAGAGACGGGGGGCACAGCCCCAGAUCUAGGCUUCUUUGCCUUUAUCAAUUGCAAUUAGGUGGACAGCCUUCCCCCUCUUCCCUUGCUCCAGUCUGGGAUGAUAAUUAAAAUUUAAUGAAGCCUGGGAGUAGCAGAGCUCUGUCUGGGGACUGUGGAAUAGAAUAUUUUAACUGUACAUUUACACCAAAUGUCUGGCUUCAAAGACGUGACUGCUUUUAAUCUCGAAUUAGAAAACCACAGACCUGAAAUUAAAUAUUAGCCACCCUCGGCUCCCCUUCCUUCUCACCACACUGUCACGCCUGUGUUUUCCUGCCUUGCACCACGACACGCACACACCCACGUCUCGAGUCUCCAGUUACACUCGCGUUAAUAAUAGAUGGCUUUGAGAGGGUGCGGAUUUUUCUUUUUUUUUUUUUUUUUUUAAAUAGGGUUAAUGCAAUAUUAAUUGCUCGUAGCUGCUAUAAGAAUGCGCCGCGUAUUUCCAAGAACAAAUCGAUGGAUCGGGGCAGCGAGCGCGGAGCAGGGAGCGCAGCCCCGGGGCCGCCCGGGUGAGACCCCCAGGCUCUCCCGCAGGAGGGAGCCCGGAGGCGCAGGAGGGGAACCUGCCCCGCGGCUCGGCGCGUCCGGCAAAGGUAAAGGCGUUUUUUGGAGGAGGACACCUCGCAAAUAAGGUGGGCCGGGGGAGGAGGAGAGGGCAAGAAAAAGAAUCCCAACCCACCAGCCAAAAAAUCCCCAAGAAAACUGCGCCUGUACCCACAGACAGCUGGGACCACCUUCCCGUGGCGGGGGCGUUGCUGACCUGCUCACACGGCUCCUCGGUGCCAGAGGCAUCCUGGAGGUCGGGGGCUGCCGUGAGCUCGGGUGGGGUGGGUCACGCCUUCCCUAUCCCGGGUCCGGACGCACAGCUGCCAUUUGUUGCCAAAAGAAAAAAAAAAAAGGCAAGGGAAAAAGAAUCCAACUAAAAACCUGCCACAAAACUCCGAACAAUCCUCCAAACCAAAACAACGGAGGAAGAAAAAAGGUGCUGCGGGAGCGCGGGGCGGCAGAGACACCGCCAGCUGGGACAGCCUCGGAGCUUGUGUGCCUGCAGGAGCGGGCUUUGCAGCUGGGCCCCCGCCUCGGCCCUGCCCCAGCCCUCCGCGGCCGCGGAGCCCGCGGGGCGCAGCGCUGCCUGUCCGGGGAGGGCUGGGCCAGCCCAAACCCCCGUGGGUGUCCUGGCACCGUCCUCCCCUGCGGGCGCAGCCGCCGCCUCCCCUGAGCAACUGGCCCCGGAGCCGAACGGACUUCCUCCUUCCCGCCCCAGAGAACCCGCUUGGACGCCGAGGGGGUGGUGGGGCCGAUGCCGCUGCGAGCCCCUGUGCGCGGCGAAGGGGGGACAGGAGCAGGUGGGGUACGGAGCUCCGCGCAUCCUCGCGGUGUUUGCACAGCGGGCGGGGCCGGGGGCUGCGCGCCCCGUCCGACUGCGGCACGGCUCGCCAGCGCGGCCGGGCUCGGCUCGCCUCCCCUCCCCGUUUAUACAGAACAGGAUCAUUUACAUAAAGUCCUUAAGGCAAAUAACUGUUGGGGCUCUAAUUUAUAUCUGAUCGAAAAUUAGCCGUCAUUAUGCGCUCCAUUAGCAGCGUCUUUAAUGUGCUUCUAAGCACCAUUUGUCAAGCGGCUUGUUAAUAUCCUUCAAGUCUUUAAAGUUGAGAGCUCAUUAAAGAGUGCGCUCUGUUAUUGAUGUAAUUUAGAUGAGUUUGGAAGAGCAAGUGCGCCGCGGACAACCUGGAGGAGCGGGAGGAGACUCGGGCUCCUCCCGGGGCUGCGGCACCCCCUCAUCGUGGCCUGGGCCGGCCCGGGGCUCGCCUCCCUUCUUGGGAUGGGGUGCGGGGGAUGCUCCGGCAGUGGAGAGUCGGGGGGAGCCUCUUUUAGCUGAGGCGGAGUAAACCUGCUUAAUUAUGCGCAGACACGAUUCCGUCGUCUCUCCCCACUUCAUCGAAAGAGCAUAAAGGCCAAUAAAUUACCACCGCUGCUUAUCUGAAAA